rnacentral:rRNA from 3 species
UGGGGAAUAUUGGACAAUGGGCGCAAGCCUGAUCCAGCCAUGCCGCGUGGGUGAAGAAGGCCUUCGGGUUGUAAAGCCCUUUUGUUGGGAAAGAAAAGCAGCCGGCCAAUACCCGGUUGUUCUGACGGUACCCAAAGAAUAAGCACCGGCUAACUUCGUGCCAGCAGCCGCGGUAAUACGAAGGGUGCAAGCGUUACUCGGAAUUACUGGGCGUAAAGCGUGCGUAGGUGGUGGUUUAAGUCCGUUGUGAAAGCCCUGGGCUCAACCUGGGAACUGCAGUGGAUACUGGAUCACUAGAGUGUGGCAGAGGGUAGUGGAAUUCCCGGUGUAGCAGUGAAAUGCGUAGAGAUCGGGAGGAACAUCAGUGGCGAAGGCGACUGCCUGGGCCAACACUGACACUGAGGCACGAAAGCGUGGGGAGCAAACAGG